rnacentral:rRNA from 1 species
GGAGGAAAAGAAACCAACAGGGAUUGCCCUAGUAACGGCGAGUGAAGCGGCAACAGCUCAAAUUUGAAAUCUGGCUUCGGCCCGAGUUGUAAUUUGCAGAGGAUGCUUUUGGUGCGGUGCCUUCCGAGUUCCCUGGAACGGGACGCCACAGAGGGUGAGAGCCCCGUAUGGUUGGACACCAAUCCUGUGUAAAGCUCCUUCGACGAGUCGAGUAGUUUGGGAAUGCUGCUCUAAAUGGGAGGUAAAUCUCUUCUAAAGCUAAAUACCGGCCAGAGACCGAUAGCGCACAAGUAGAGUGAUCGAAAGAUGAAAAGCACCUUGAAAAGGGGGUUAAACAGUACGUGAAAUUGUUGAAAGGGAAGCACUUGUGACCAGACUUGGGCCGGGCGGCUCAUCAGGGGUUCUCCCCUGUGCAUUCCGCCCGGUACAGGCCAGCAUCGGUUCUUGCCGGGGGUUAAUAACGGUAGGAACGUGGCUCCCUCUCGGGGGAGUGUUAUAGCCUGCCGUACGAUACCCUGGCGGGGACCGAGGU